rnacentral:piRNA from 2 species
UCUAGGGCUGUGGAGCAGCUAGCCGGGUGUU